rfam:Sus scrofa isolate TJ Tabasco breed Duroc chromosome 1, whole genome shotgun sequence.
CAAUAGGUGUUUCUAAACACCAUAGCUGUUCAUUUUACAGCUUCUU